rnacentral:rRNA from 1 species
CAGCCCUUGAAUACCGGUCGCGGACACAGAGAUGUGUCUUUCAGUUCGGCUGGACCGGAUACAGGUGCUGCAUGGCUGUCGUCAGCUCGUGUCGUGAGAUGUUGGGUUAAGUCCCGCAACGAGCGCAACCCUCGCCCUUAGUUGCCAGCAUUUAGUUGGGCACUCUAAGGGGACUGCCGGUGAUAAGCCGAGAGGAAGGUGGGGAUGACGUCAAGUCCUCAUGGCCCUUACGGGCUGGGCUACACACGUGCUACAAUGGUGGUGACAGUGGGCAGCGAGCACGCGAGUGUGAGCUAAUCUCCAAAAGCCAUCUCAGUUCGGAUUGCACUCUGCAACUCGAGUGCAUGAAGUUGGAAUCGCUAGUAAUCGCGGAUCAGAAUGCCGCGGUGAAUACGUUCCC